rnacentral:rRNA from 1 species
UACAGAGGGGGCAAGCGUUGUUCGGAAUUACUGGGCGUAAAGGGCGCGUAGGCGGCCUUCUAAGUCGAACGUGAAAUCCCUGGGCUCAACCCAGGAACUGCGUCCGAUACUGGGUGGCUUGAAUCCGGGAGAGGGAUGCGGAAUUCCAGGUGUAGCGGUGAAAUGCGUAGAUAUCUGGAGGAACACCGGUGGCGAAGGCGGCAUCCUGGACCGGUAUUGACGCUGAGGCGCGAAAGCCAGGGGAGCAAACGGG